UACGGAGGGUGCAAGCGUUAUCCGGAUUCACUGGGUUUAAAGGGUGCGUAGGUGGGCAGGUAAGUCCGUGGUGAAAUCUCUGAGCUUAACUCAGAAACUGCCGUGGAUACUAUUUGUCUUGAAUGUUGUGGAGGUGAGCGGAAUAUGUCAUGUAGCGGUGAAAUGCUUAGAUAUGACAUAGAACACCAAUUGCGAAGGCAGCUCACUACACAAUUAUUGACGCUGAGGCACGAAAGCGUGGGGGAGCGAACAGG
rnacentral:rRNA from 1 species